rnacentral:rRNA from 1 species
CACGCCGCGUGAGUGAUGAAGGCCUUCGGGUCGUAAAGCUCUGUUGUUAGGGAAGAACAAGUACCGUUCAAAUAGGGCGGUACCAUGACGGUACCUAACCAGAAAGCCACGGCUAACUACGUGCCAGCAGCCGCGGUAAUACGUAGGUGGCAAGCGUUGUCCGGAAUUAUUGGGCGUAAAGGGCUCGCAGGCGGUUCCUUAAGUCUGAUGUGAAAGCCCACGGCUCAACCGUGGAGGGUCAUUGGAAACUGGGGAACUUGAGUACAGAAGAGGAGAGUGGAAUUCCACGUGUAGCGGUGAAAUGCGUAGAGAUGUGGAGGAACACCAGUGGCGAAGGCGACUCUCUGGUCUGUAACUGACGCUGAGGAGCGAAAGCGUGGGGAGCGAACAGGAUUAG